UACGGAGGGUGCAAGGCGUUAUCCGGCAUUCACUGGGUUUAAAGGGUGCGUAGGCGGGCAGGUAAGUCCGUGGUGAAAUCUCUGAGCUUAACUCAGAAACUGCCAUGGAUACUAUUUGUCUUGAAUAUUGUGGAGGCAAGCGGAAUAUGUCAUGUAGCGGUGAAAUGCUUAGAUAUGACAUAGAACACCCAUUGCGAAGGCAGCUUGCUACACAAUGAUUGACGUGAGGCACGAAGCGUGGGGAUCAAACAGG
rnacentral:rRNA from 1 species